rnacentral:rRNA from 1 species
AAAUUUCAUUUUUAGUGAUUGGAAUGAUGGGAAUCCAAACCCCUUUCAGAGUAACAAUUGGAGGGCAAGUCUGGUGCCAGCAGCCGCGGUAAUUCCAGCUCCAAUAGCGUAUAUUAAAGUUGUUGCAGUUAAAAAGCUCGUAGUUGGAUUUCUGCUGGAAGCAGCCAGUCCGCCCUUAGGGGUGUGUAGGUGGUGAAAUUCCGGCAUCCUCCUGGUGGCGCUUCGCACUUAACUGGGUGGAGUGCUUUUCCAGGACUUUUACUUUGA